UCAUAGAAGUAAAUAGGAAAAUUUUACCAGAGUACUAAGAAUAAAAAAUUUAAAACUCAAAGGGCUUGGCGGUGUUUUAGACUACUUAGGGGAACCUGUCUCAUAAUCGACAAUCCACGUUAAACCUAACCUUUUUUUGCAUUCAGUUUGUAUACCGUCGUCGCCAGGUAACUUUUAAGAUAUAAACAGUUAGCUAGCUAAAUAUUUUAAUUAAGACGUCAGAUCAAGGUGCAGCUAACAAUAAGGUGUAGAUGGGUUACAAUUACUAUACUCGUAAUAACGGACAACUACCUUAAAGGUAAUUGGAAAGGAGGACUUAAAAGUAAAAUAAAUUAUAUAAAUAUCUUGAAUAAAGCUCUGAAACGUGC
rnacentral:rRNA from 1 species